rnacentral:misc_RNA from 1 species
AGACAUCCCAGUAACCUUAUGCUUCAUCGUUACAGUGGGAAAAUACUGCAUAUCGAUUUUGGAGAUUGCUUUGAGGCUUCAAUGAAUCGAGAAAAAUUUCCUGAAAAGGUUCCUUUUCGCUUGACUAGAAUGCUUGUGAAGGCUAUGGAAGUUAGUGGCAUUGAAGGUAAUUUCAGAUCAACAUGUGAAAAUGUGAUGCAAG